GCCUUGGUGCUUCAGUGGUAGGAUUCUUGCCUUCCAAGCAGGAGAUCUGGGUUCAAUUUCCAGCCAAUGUA
rnacentral:tRNA from 1 species